rnacentral:lncRNA from 1 species
CAUGCCUCUCCUGGUGUCUGGGUGCCAGUGGCCCUCAUGGCUGCUCCUCUGCUCUGGACUGCAGCCGCAGCCACCCACUUGUGGGUGUCUGAGGGGUGGACCUCUUGUUCUGGGGGAAUGGCAACUCUGCCCUGGGGUUCCCCCUCUCCCCGGCAGAUCCGACUGAUUGACUGCCUGUCAAGCCAAGUCCGACCAGCCUCACCGGGGUCCAUGCACGAGAGGCUCUGCUUGGUUCAUGAAGCGCUGCCGCCUCACAGAGAGGGGCCAGGUCCCCAGAGGAGCACGAGGAGAGCCCCGCCUGACUUCUGACAGCGCAUCCUGACCCGGAAGCUGGACAGAGAGAGAUCACGGGUGAGGAAGAGGGAAGCCCACCGUGUCUCGUGACAACAGGUGCACAGAUCCUGAAUCCACUGGUGUGGCUGCUUACGCUCAGCGACACAGCUAGUGCCUUGGUGUCUUCCACGGCUCUUCCCUUGUCAUCAUGGGCCAGCCUCACAGCCGCUCCCUCUUCCCUCUUCCAGCCCCACCCCGCUCCCCUGGGGCCUUGCAGGCAGGCAUCAGUGGUUGUGAUGAUCCCUCACCUGUCUGCUCAGUGAGGCUGACAGUGACCCCGUUAGUGGAACACUACUUGGAUGCAACUGUGCCCAAGUUUUCCAGAUGUAGUUAAGGUCCACAGUUAGGGCACAGCCGCCUCCAGCACCGACAUGCCGCAUGGUGUCGGGUCCUGGCUGCUCCACUGCCGAUCCAGUUCCCUGCUAAUGCACCUGGGAAAGCAGCAGAAGAUGGCCCACGUGCUUGGGCCCAUGCACCCACGUAGGAGAGACCCGGAUGAAGCUCUUGGCUCCUGGCUCCAUCUGGCCCAGCCCUGGUCAUUGUAGCCAUCUGGGGAGUGAACAAGCAGAUGGAAGAUUCAUUCAUUCAUUCAUUCUCUCUCUCUCUCUCCCUCUCUCUCCCUCCUCUCUGUAACUCUUCCUUUCAAAUGAAUAAAAUAAAUCUUAGAGAGAAUUGGAGGCA